GUGUGUGUAUUCUAGUGCUUAAUAUCCCCGCCUGUCAUGCGGGAGACCGGGGUUCGAUUCCCCUGUCUCACA